rnacentral:rRNA from 1 species
AAAAUAAUGCUGGGGUACGAUGCGGAGCGAAAUUUAGUAGCGAAGUAGCUGAUUUCACACUGUCGAGAAAAGUCUCUAUCGAGGUUAAAGGUGCCUGUACCGCAAACCGACACAGAUGGGUGAGGAGAGUAUCCUAAGGCCAGCGAGAGAACUGUUGUUAAGGAACUCGGCAAAAUGACCCCGUAACUUCGGGAGAAGGGGUGCCUUCGAAAGAAGGCCGCAGAGAAUAGGCCCAAGCGACUGUUUACCAAAAACAUAGGUUUCUGCUAAGUCGCAAGACGAUGUAUAGGAGCUGACGCCUGCCCGGUGCUGGAAGGUUAAGGGGAUCUGUUAGAGCAAUCGAAGCAGUGAACUUAAGCCCCAGUAAACGGCGGCCGUAACGAUAACGGUCCUAAGGUAGCGAAAUUCCUUGUCAGGUAAGUUCCGACCCGCACGAAAGGCGUAACGAUUUGGGCACUGUCUCAACAACAGACUCGGUGAAAUUGUAAUACCGGUGAAGAUGCCGGUUACCUGCGACAGGACGGAAAGACCCCAUGGAGCUUUACUGUAGCUUGACAUUGAGUCUCGGUGCUACAUGUACAGGAUAGGUGGGAGACUAUGAAGCAUGGACGUCAGUCUGUGUGGAGUCAUCCUUGGGAUACCACCCUUGUAGUACCGGGAUUCUAACCAGAGGCCAUGAAUCUGGUCUUGGGACACUGUCAGGUGGACAGUUUGACUGGGGCGGUCGCCUCCCAAAAAGUAACGGAGGCGCUCAAAGGUUCUCUCAGUACGGUCGGAAAUCGUACGAAGAGUGUAAAGGCAAAAGAGAGCUUGAUUGCAAGACAUACAGGUCGAGCAAGGACGAAAGUCGGACUUAGUGAUCCGGUGGUUCCGCAUGGAAGGGCCAUCGCUCAACGGAUAAAAGCUACCCUGGGGAUAACAGGCUGAUCUCCCCCAAGAGUCCACAUCGACGGGGAGGUUUGGCACCUCGAUGUCGGCUCAUCACAUCCUGGGGCUGUAGUAGGUCCCAAGGGUUGGGCUGUUCGCCCAUUAAAGUGGUACGCGAGCUGGGUUCAGAACGUCGUGAGACAGUUCGGUCCCUAUCCGUCGCAGGCGUAGGAAAUUUGAGGAGACCUGUCCUUAGUACGAGAGGACCGGGAUGGACGUACCGCUGGUGUACCAGUUGUUCUGCCAAGGGCAUGGCUGGGUAGCUAAGUACGGAAAGGAUAAGCGCUGAAAGCAUCUAAGCGCGAAGCCCACUUCAAGAUAAGAUUUCCCACCGCAAGGUUAAGAUCCCAGGAAGACUACCUGGUUGAUAGGUCAGAGGUGUAAGUGCAGUAAUGUAUUUAGCUUACUGAUACUAAUAGAUCGAGGACUUGACCA